rnacentral:rRNA from 1 species
UACGUAGGGGGCAAGCGUUGUCCGGAAUUAUUGGGCGUAAAGCGCGCGCAGGCGGCUAUUUAAGUCUGGUGUUUAAACCUUGGGCUCAACCUGAGGUCGCACUGGAAACUGGGUGGCUUGAGUACAGAAGAGGAAAGUGGAAUUCCACGUGUAGCGGUGAAAUGCGUAGAUAUGUGGGGGAACACCAGUGGCGAAGGCGACUUUCUGGGCUGUAACUGACGCUGAGGCGCGAAAGCGUGGGGAGCAAACAG